rnacentral:rRNA from 1 species
ACGAACGCUGGCGGCGUGCUUAACACCUGCAAGUCGAACGAAGAGCGACGGAAGCUUGCUUCUAUCAAUCUUAGUGGCGAACGGGUGAGUAACGCGUAAUCAACCUGCCCUUCAGAGGGGGACAACAGUUGGAAACGACUGCUAAUACCGCAUACGAUCUAACCUCGGCAUCGAGGAUAGAUGAAAGGUGGCCUCUACAUGUAAGCUAUCACUGAAGGAGGGGAUUGCGUCUGAUUAGCUAGUUGGAGGGGUAACGGCCCACCAAGGCGAUGAUCAGUAGCCGGUCUGAGAGGAUGAACGGCCACAUUGGGACUGAGACACGGCCCAGACUCCUACGGGAGGCAGCAGUGGGGAAUCUUCCGCAAUGGACGAAAGUCUGACGGAGCAACGCCGCGUGAGUGAUGACGGCCUUCGGGUUGUAAAGCUCUGUUAAUCGGGACGAAAGGCCUUCUUGCGAAUAGUGAGAAGGAUUGACGGUACCGGAAGAGAAAGCCACGGCUAACUACGUG